AUUGAACGCUGGCGGCAGGCCUAACACAUGCAAGUCGAACGGUAACAGGAAGAAGCUUGCUUCUUUGCUGACGAGUGGCGGACGGGUGAGUAAUGUCUGGGAAACUGCCUGAUGGAGGGGGAUAACUACUGGAAACGGUAGCUAAUACCGCAUAACGUCGCAAGACCAAAGAGGGGGACCUUCGGGCCUCUUGCCAUCGGAUGUGCCCAGAUGGGAUUAGCUAGUUGGUGGGGUAACGGCUCACCAAGGCGACGAUCCCUAGCUGGUCUGAGAGGAGGCCCAGCCACACUGGAACGGAGACACGGUCCAGACUCCUACGGGAGGCAGCAGUGGGGAAUAUUGCACAAUGGGCGCAAGCCUGAUGCAGCCAUGCCGCGUGUAUGAAGAAGGCCUUCGGGUUGUAAAGUACUUUCAGCGGGGAGGAAGGGAGUAAAGUUAAUACCUUUGCUCAUUGACGUUACCCGCAGAAGAAGCACCGGCUAACUCCGUGCCAGCCGCCGCAGUAA
rnacentral:rRNA from 1 species